CUGAUGCAGCCAUGCCGCGUGAGUGAAGAAGGCCUUCGGGUUGUAAAGCUCUUUCAGAUGCGAAGAUGWUGACGGUAACAUCAGAAGAAGCCCCGGCUAAUUUCGUGCCAGCAGCCGCGGUAAU
rnacentral:rRNA from 1 species